UUGCAGGGGAGGAAAUGGAGGCGCAGAGAGGUUAAACUAGUCGUCCAAGGUCACCAGGUGGCCAAAACGGGGAGCCCAAUUUGAACCCAGGUCUCGCAUUUCCCAACCACAAGCUCCCUCCACCAUCUGAACACCCAGGUGUCAAGUUGUCUCAACUUCCCAUGAAUUUUUUAAAGGCAACCCGCAAGUUCGCAAACAGACUACCAGAAUCUAAAUAAUUUAUAAAGAAGAGAGAUUUGUUUUGGCUCAUGACUUUGGAGGCUCCGACAGUCACAUCUGGUCAGCUCUUGCAGGUUUCAUGUCGUUCCAUAACAGGGUGAAAGUGAGAAGUAUGCAUGUCACAAGGAAGAGACAAUGGGAGACAGAGGUUCGUGUCUUCCAGGCUUGCCUGAAGCCCAUGAUAUAGCAGAGGAUGACCUUGGACUUCUGAUCUUCCUACUUCCACCCCCUAACUCUCACAUAUUCUGGGAUUAUAGGCAUCUACUACCCUGGUUUAUGUAGUGCAAGGGAUUGAACCCAGAGCCCUGUACAUGCUAGGCAAGCGCUCUACAACUGAGCUACAUCCCCAGUCACUAACCAAGUCUUUUGACUUAUGAAAGCUAAUGCAUUAUUUUCCAUUACACUAGCUUCAGAGAUACAAAAAAAAA